UGGUGGAGUGAUUUGUCUGGUUAAUUCCGUUAACGAACGAGACCCCUGCCUGCUAAAUAGUCCAAUGAGUAUUUUUUUUACUGAUUGAUGACUGCUUAGAGGGACGGUGCAUUCUAUUAGAUGCAGGAAGAUAGGGGCGAAUAACA
rnacentral:rRNA from 1 species